rnacentral:lncRNA from 1 species
UAGUUAGUUAAUUUGGAUUCGGCAAAAAUUCGGUACGGAUAUAAUACGUAUAAAAUUCGUUUUCUAAUUUUUAAAUUCGUUGAAAAAUUCGGCUUAAAAAACGGAUUCGGUAUAAAAUAUAAAAUAUAAGAUAUAAAAUAUAAAAUAAUUUAUAUUUAAAAAUAAAAUUAUAAGUUUUUUAUUUAUAUUUUCAAUAAUUCGGUAAUAAUUCGUGAAUAAUUCGUGAAUUAUUAGCGAAUAAUUCGGCUGGUUUAAAAAUUCGCGAAUAAUUCUCUUUCUUUUGAAAAAUUUCGUAAACGUACCGUUUUAUUUGAAUUUUCAAUAAUUCGCGAAUAAUUCGCCAAUUUACUAACUAGGAUCCUUGCUCCAUUAUGUGAGCAAUGGGGAUUAAUUAAUUAAUGUUAAAUAUAAAAUUAUAUAAACACCGUUCUCUAGCCGCUUAUGUUUUUAGAGUACAAAGACUGUUUCACAUGGUAUCAGAGCAGGAGGUCCUGAAUUCGAAUCACGCCAGGCUCCUAGAAUAUUAAUUUUCUCUUAUUUAAUUCAAGCCCACAUCAUGGGCCGACUAAAAAGUCUCGAGCCCAGACAUGAAGGGGAAUGUU